UUGACCUUAUCGUUUUUGGUUCUCAAAAUUCUCCUCUGCAUUCCCCUUUAAUGAAGCCUCUUCAUUGCAUCAGAAUUAAUCAACCGAAGGCAGCAAAACAUCUGCUACAAGAACUCAGUCAUGCCACUAUUUUUUACCUCGAUUGCCAAUUUGAAGCCUUGGGUUACUUCGUUCUUGAUAAAAGUCUGUUUGCAUUCGUGUGUAUGACGUUUCAAUGUCUGGGAAUAAGAAGUAGUAUUAUCAUUAGUUUAGAUUGUGUUCUUCAUGAUUGAAAGGCAUUUUUGCAAUAUGGAAACUGCUUUGCUUCUACACUA